UCGAGCGGUAGAGAGGUGCUUGCACCUCUUGAGAGCGGCGGACGGGUGAGUAAAGCCUAGGAAUCUGCCUGGUAGUGGGGGAUAACGCUCGGAAACGGACGCUAAUACCGCAUACGUCCUACGGGAGAAAGCAGGGGACCUUCGGGCCUUGCGCUAUCAGAUGAGCCUAGGUCGGAUUAGCUAGUUGGUGAGGUAAUGGCUCACCAAGGCGACGAUCCGUAACUGGUCUGAGAGGAUGAUCAGUCACACUGGAACUGAGACACGGUCCAGACUCCUACGGGAGGCAGCAGUGGGGAAUAUUGGACAAUGGGCGAAAGCCUGAUCCAGCCAUGCCGCGUGUGUGAAGAAGGUCUUCGGAUUGUAAAGCACUUUAAGUUGGGAGGAAGGGCAUUAACCUAAUACGUUAGUGUUUUGACGUUACCGACAGAAUAAGCACCGGCUAACUCUGUGCCAGCAGCCGCGGUAAUACAGAGGGUGCAAGCGUUAAUCGGAAUUACUGGGCGUAAAGCGCGCGUAGGUGGUUCGUUAAGUUGGAUGUGAAAUCCCCGGGCUCAACCUGGGAACUGCAUUCAAAACUGUCGAGCUAGAGUAUGGUAGAGGGUGGUGGAAUUUCCUGUGUAGCGGUG
rnacentral:rRNA from 1 species